GGAGGCGUUCAGGUGGCUGGUGCCCCUCGCAGUCUUCAAAACUGUUGCGGCCCGGCAUCCGGGCCGGGCGGGUUCGAUUCCCGUCCGCCUCCGCCA
rnacentral:tRNA from 1 species